GAUGAACGCUGGCGGCGUGCCUAAUACAUGCAAGUCGAGCGAACAGACGAGGAGCUUGCUCCUCUCACGUUAGCCGCGGACGGGUGUGUCACACGUGUAUAACCCACCUAUAAGACUGGGAUCACUUCGGGAAACCGGAGCUAAUACCGGAUAAUCUAUUGAACCGCAUGGUUCAAUAGUGAAAUACGGUGUUUCUGUCUCUUCUCGCUGGAUCCCCGCCGCAUUGGCUAGUUGGUAAGGUAACGGCUUAUCAAGGCGACGAUGCGUAGCCGACCUGAGAGGGUGGUCGGCCACACUGGAAGGUAGACACGGUCCAGACGCCUGCGAGAGGCAGCAGUAGGGAACGUGACGCAAUGGGCGAAAGCAUGGCGGAGCAGCGGCACGUGAGUGAUGAAAAUCUUCGGAUCGUAAAAAUCUGUUAUUAGUGAAAAACAGAUGUGUACGUAACUAUGCACGUCUUGACGGUACCUGAUCAGAAAGCCACGGCUAACUACGUG
rnacentral:rRNA from 1 species